rnacentral:tRNA from 1 species
GCCUCUGUAGCUCAGUUGGUUAGAGCGCUGCACCGGAAUCUCAGGGCCGUAGGUUCAAUUCCUACCAGAGGAC